GUGGGGGGGUUUUCUUGGUUUUUUUGUGUUUUCCAGGGGGUUGCAUGCAGAAGGGGUGGGACUCUGUGUCCCCGGGUGUUACUGGUUUAACGAGGGGAGAGGAGAGGGAGUUUGUUGGGACACAGGACCGGAGAGGGAACUUGGGACCCCGGCUGAGGGCCUGGAGGAUGGAGACCCCAGUGAUCGGUGACCUGGUGACCCAGAGAUCCAGCUCAGAAGUCACAGCCAAUUCUGGCCAGGGGUGCAGAACCA